CCUACGGGAGGCAGCAGUCGAGAAUCAUUCACAAUGGGGGAAACCCUGAUGGUGCGACGCCGCGUGGGGGAAUGAAGGUCUUCGGAUUGUAAACCCCUGUCAUGUGGGAGCAAAUUAAAAAGAUAGUACCACAAGAGGAAGAGACGGCUAACUCUGUGCCAGCAGCCGCGGUAAUACAGAGGUCUCAAGCGUUGUUCGGAAUCACUGGGCGUAAGGCGUGCGGAGGCUGUUUCGUAAGUCGUGUGUGAAAGGCGCGGGCUCAACCCGCGGACGGCACAUGAUCCUGCGAGACUAGAGUAAUGGAGGGGGAACCGGAAUUCUCGGUGUAGCAGUGAAAUGCGUAGAUAUCGAGAGGAACACUCGUGGCGAAGGCGGGUUCCUGGACAUUAACUGACGCUGAGGCACGAAGGCCAGGGGAGCGAAAGGGAUUAGAUACCCGGGUAGUC
rnacentral:rRNA from 1 species